rnacentral:rRNA from 1 species
UACAGAGGGUGCGAGCGUUGUCCGGAAUCACUGGGCGUAAAGGGCGCGUAGGCGGUGGCGUAAGCGUGCGGUGAAAGCUCGGGGCUCAACCCCGAGUCGGCCGUGCGAACUGGGCCACUGGAGCAGAUCAGAGGCAGGCGGAAUUCCGGGUGUAGCGGUGGAAUGCGUAGAGAUCCGGAAGAACACCGGUGGCGAAGGCGGCCUGCUGGGAUCUUGCUGACGCUGAGGCGCGACAGCGUGGGGAGCAAAC